AUUGAACGCUGGCGGCAGGCGUAACACAUGCAAGUCGAGCGGAUGAAGGGAGCUUGCUCCUGGAUUCAGCAGCGGACGGGUGAGUAAUGCCUAGGAAUCUGCCUGGUAGUGGGGGAUAACGUCCGGAAACGGGCGCUAAUACCGCAUACGUCCUGAGGGAGAAAGUGGGGGAUCUUCGGACCUCACGCUAUCAGAUGAGCCUAGGUCGGAUUAGCUAGUUGGUGGGGUAAAGGCCUACCAAGGCGACGAUCCGUAACUGGUCUGAGAGGAUGAUCAGUCACACUGGAACUGAGACACGGUCCAGACUCCUACGGGAGGCAGCAGUGGGGAAUAUUGGACAAUGGGCGAAAGCCUGAUCCAGCCAUGCCGCGUGUGUGAAGAAGGUCUUCGGAUUGUAAAGCACUUUAAGUUGGGAGGAAGGGCAGUAAGUUAAUACCUUGCUGUUUUGACGUUACCAACAGAAUAAGCACCGGCUAACUUCGUG
rnacentral:rRNA from 1 species